GCACCGUAGCCCAAUGGUAGAGGCGGUCGUUUCAAAAGCGACACAGUGUGAGUUCGAAUCUCACCGGUGCCA
rnacentral:tRNA from 1 species